GAGGAGAUGCCGGAGCGGUCAAACGGGACGCGUUAAGGCCGCGUUGGCUUUAUGCCUGCGGGGGUUCGAAUCCUCCUCUCCUCA
rnacentral:tRNA from 1 species